GCAUGGUCACCGCACGUGGGAAAAGCACGCGUUCCAACUUCAGGCCGGCGCGCCGCUGGUACGUGGCGACGAUGGCUUCGGGAGCGAGCCUUCCCCGCAUGGCUCGUGAAACGAGGGGGGACGUGAAAUGAGAAAAACGCCAGCCGGCUCCAUUCCUCGCGACCCCUUGACUCAUACUAUGAAGCCUGAAGGCACGUCCCGGUGUCGAUAGUCCAAGACAUGGACAUUCUCUCUUGCAUCGCAAGCCCAAAGCCACCCUCCAUCACUGGUCUCCGCCGUUUAUUUAUCGUACGUCCACGCCCGUUCUCGAGCCCCCAAGCGGUUCCGUCUCAUGCUGCUAAGUGCCGGCCUCGCCGCCGCGGCACCAUCUCGACUCGGGCUUUCUGUCCGCUCCCAGGCCAGAACGCGGGACAUUCGCUCCCAAAACAGCCUUCCUGUGGCGCCGCCACUUGGCCCGUCAGGCGUGACGCCGCAGCCAAGACUGGUAAUGAAAGCGGCCAAUAGGGCCGGCCUUCUGAAGCCCGUCUUGGCUAUCGAAAACGCCACCGACAAAGUCGGCCUCAUGGCCGAUGCCAGCGGCAACCUGGUGCACACCGGCUUCAAAGCCGAGGUCCACACCGAAUCGAUCCCCCGGCCGGUGCCUGAGCAGCCCUGUUGGGCGCGCAUCCUGGAGCAUCUGCUCGUCCUCUUCGUGGUCUUGGCCGUCUGCUACCUGCUCACGCUGUAACUGCGUUACAGCAUCCCGACAGGUACAGCAUCAAAAUCAUCAUAGAGUCCGUGCUGUGCGCCUUCUGCCUGUCGUCCUCGCGUGUCCGAACUGACGAUGGCUUUGAUCGACAGCCCUAACCGAGCCUGGAAUGCAGCCGAGGAAGUCUGAUGGCGGGUCUGCGAGUUUAUGGAUGGCGACAAGGGUCCGGAGCGACACGUCAACAAGGAUGAAGGGUCUUGGCAUCCUGAAUCCACCGGUAACGCGUGGUGAAAAGGUCCGAGAUCAGACGAUAUGGCUUUGAUUUGAUUGGAUACAUUCAACGUUGUGCGACGCGUAAAAUAUCACGCUCCUCCACCGCUCGGUGAGAGGAUCUCGUUCGUGGUUCCCGUCUUAAUAUUUUCUUUCCCCGUGAGGAGCCUGCCCCUGAGUCGGCCCCGAUAUUGCUGCCUCUGCUACUCUGCCGGUGAGGCCUGAUGCCUAGUCGACGCAUUCGUCGGCAGAAGAAGAAAUCUAGACGCUCUUUUUCGGAGCUGCAAAAAAGAGCGUUUGAAUUUGCUAGAGGUAAACGGCCGAAAGAGUCCACCCCAGAAACGGCGAGUUUCGAAUACAAGAAGACGCUUGAGCAUUUGCA
rnacentral:misc_RNA from 1 species